rnacentral:rRNA from 1 species
GCGGCGUGCUUAACACAUGCAAGUCGAGCGAAGCAUUAAGAAGAUUCCUCGGAUGAUUCUUGACUGACUGAGCGGCGGACGGGUGAGUAACGCGUGGGUGACCUGCCCCAUACCGGGGGAUAACAGCUGGAAACGGCUGCUAAUACCGCAUAAGCGCACAGAGCUGCAUGGCUCGGUGUGAAAAACUCCGGUGGUAUGGGAUGGGCCCGCGUCUGAUUAGGCAGUUGGCGGGGUAACGGCCCACCAAACCGACGAUCAGUAGCCGGCCUGAGAGGGCGACCGGCCACAUUGGGACUGAGACACGGCCCAAACUCCUACGGGAGGCAGCAGUGGGGAAUAUUGCACAAUGGGGGAAACCCUGAUGCAGCGACGCCGCGUGAGCGAAGAAGUAUUUCGGUAUGUAAAGCUCUAUCAGCAGGGAAGAUAAUGACGGUACCUGACUAAGAAGCCCCGGCUAACUACGUGCCAGCAGCCGCGGUAAUACGUAGGGGGCAAGCGUUAUCCGGAUUUACUGGGUGUAAAGGGAGCGUAGACGGCAAGGCAAGUCUGAUGUGAAAACCCAGGGCUUAACCCUGGGACUGCAUUGGAAACUGUCUGGCUCGAGUGCCGGAGAGGUAAGCGGAAUUCCUAGUGUAGCGGUGAAAUGCGUAGAUAUUAGGAAGAACACCAGUGGCGAAGGCGGCUUACUGGACGGUAACUGACGUUGAG